rnacentral:lncRNA from 1 species
GUCAUCAUGCUCACCCUCAUUUGAUCCUCACCAAACAUUCCAUCCAAUGUAUGAUAUAUUUUUCAUCCACGUGCACAAACACGCAUAUUGAAUUUCAUCGUCCUACACAUGUUUCUAUGAAAAUCAUUGAGUCCCGAUAUUACUUGAAAACCAGUAAAUUUUAAAGAUAAACAUGAAACAAGUUUAUGAAGGACCUAAUAAUUUAAGAAAUUUAAAUUUUCAAUAGUCUUAGAAGUUUAAAUUUAUGAAGGACUCCCAAGUAGAAGUUUCCUCUCAAACGGA